AUACUCACUAUUCUAUUUUAACAAGUGUGAUAACAGUUUUGGAACCAGUGUGAAAACUAAAUAAAGAGGAAAAAAUUUUUUUAAAACCCUUCAAUACAAAUAAUCGACACACAAACGGAAACGAGGAUAAGAAAAUGAGUCAAAGGGGGAAACCAUAUAAAAGUGUAAAGAUGAUACCAAUGACUUCUCUGGGCAGGAAGAAGAAGGAACGAAUGAAAGUAGCAAAUGUCUAACCAAAACAAAAAUUAAACGAGAG